rnacentral:rRNA from 1 species
AUUGAAGGCUGGCGGCAGGCUUAACACAUGCAAGUCGAGCGGAGUGAUGGUGCUUGCACUAUCACUUAGCGGCGGACGGGUGAGUAAUGCUUAGGAAUCUGCCAUUUAGUGGGGGACAACAUUCCGAAAGGAAUGCUAAUACCGCAUACGUCCUACGGGAGAAAGCAGGGGAUCUUCGGACCUUGCGCUAAAUGAUGAGCCUAAGUCGGAUUAGCUAGUUGGUGGGGUAAAGGCCUACCAAGGCGACGAUCUGUAGCGGGUCUGAGAGGAUGACCCGCCACACUGGGACUGAGACACGGCCCAGACUCCUACGGGAGGCAGCAGUGGGGAAUAUUGGACAAUGGGCGGAAGCCUGAUCCAGCCAUGCCGCGUGUGUGAAGAAGGCCUUUUGGUUGUAAAGCACUUUAAGCGAGGAGGAGGCUACUAGUACUAAUACUACUGGAUAGUGGACGUUACUCGCAGAAUAAGCACCGGCUAACUCUGUGCCAGCCGCCGCAGUAAUAC